rnacentral:rRNA from 1 species
UNGAUCCUGGCCAGAGUGACGCUAGCGGCGUGGUUAGACAUGCACGCGAACGAUGAAGCCAGCUUGCUGGGCGGAUUAGUGGCAUACGGGUGCGUAACACGUGAGCAACCUGCCUUGAAGUGGGGAAUAGCCCGGGGAAACCCGGAUUAAUACCGCAUGUGGUCUCUUUUCGCAUGAAAAGACGACUAAAGUUUGUAAUGACUCUUCAAGAGGGGCUCGCGGCCUAUCAGCUUGUAGGUGAGGUAAAGGCUCACCAAGGCAAAGACGGGUAGCUGGUCUGAGAGGAUGAUCAGCCACACUGGAACUGAGAUACGGUCCAGACACCUACGGGUGGCAGCAGUUUCGAAUCAUUCACAAUGGGGGAAACCCUGAUGGUGCAACGCCGCGUGGAGGAUGACGGCCUUCGGGUUGUAAACUCCUGUCACCAAGGAACAAACGGCAGGUUCAUAGCCUGUCCUGAGUUAACUUGGAGAGGAAGAGGUGGCUAACUCCGUGCCAGCAGCCGCGGUAAUACGGAGACCUCGAGCGUUACUCGGAUUCACUGGGCGUAAAGAGUAUGUAGGCGGUUUGGUAUGUCAGGUGUGAAAGCCCGAAGCUCAACUUCGGAAUUGCGCCUGAAACUACCGGACUUGAGGCCUGGAGAGGGGAGUGGAAUUCCUGGUGUAGCGGUGAAAUGCGUAGAUAUCAGGAGGAACACCAAUGGCGAAGGCAGCUCCCUGGACAAGGGUUCUGACGCUGAGAUACGAAAGCGUGGGUAGCGAAAGGGAUUAGAUACCCCUGUAGUCCACGCCGGAGACGUUGUACACUAAGUUUCGGAAGGGCUAACCCUUCGGAGCUCAAGCUAACGCG